rnacentral:misc_RNA from 1 species
ACGAGCGCGGGGCGGAGGC